rnacentral:rRNA from 1 species
AACAAACGCUGGCGGCGUGCCUAACACAUGCAAGUCGUACGAGAAAGGGUCCUUCGGGAUCUGAGUAAAGUGGCGCACGGGUGAGUAACGCGUGGAUAAUCUACCCCUCAGCUGGGAAUAACUCAUCGAAAGGUGGGCUAAUACCGAAUAACACUGCGAGACUAUGGUCAAACAGUCAAAGGGCGCCUCUGCUUGCAAGCGCUCGCUGAAGGAUGAGUCCGCGUACCAUUAGCUAGUUGGUAGGGUAAUGGCCUACCAAGGCGACGAUGGUUAGCUGGUCUGAGAGGAUGAUCAGCCACACUGGAACUGAGACACGGUCCAGACUCCUACGGGAGGCUG